GGGGCGGACGUAGCCAAGUGGAUUAAGGCAGU
rnacentral:tRNA from 2 species